CUACGUGCCAGCAGCCGCGGUAAUACGUAGGUGGCAAGCGUUGUCCGGAAUUAUUGGGCGUAAAGCGCGCGCAGGCGGAUUGGUCAGUCUGUCUUAAAAGUUCGGGGCUUAACCCCGUGAUGGGAUGGAAACUGCCAAUCUAGAGUAUCGGAGAGGAAAGUGGAAUUCCUAGUGUAGCGGUGAAAUGCGUAGAUAUUAGGAAGAACACCAGUGGCGAAGGCGACUUUCUGGACGAAAACUGACGCUGAGGCGCGAAAGCCAGGGGAGCGAACGGGAUUAGAUACCCCGGUAGUCCUGGCCGUAAACGAUGGGUACUAGGUGUAGGAGGUAUCGACCCCUUCUGUGCCGGAGUUAACGCAAUAAGUACCCCGCCUGGGGAGUACGACCGCAAGGUUGAAACUCAAAGGAAUUGACGGGGGCCUGCACAAGCGGUGGAGUAUGUGGUUUAAUUCGACGCAACGCGAAGAACCUUACCAGGUCUUGACAU
rnacentral:rRNA from 1 species